rnacentral:tRNA from 1 species
GCGGGUGUGGUGGAAUUGGCAGACACGCAAGAUUUAGGUUCUUGUGAGCGAUCGUGCAGGUUCAAGUCCUGUCACCCGCA